CAAAAAUUAAUAACACUGUUUAAAAAGUUUAAAUUAUCUUAUUACUAUUAUACAUUACACAAAAUUACUGUAUAGAUUAAAUUACUGUAAUCGUGGAUCUAACCGCAGGCGAAAUUAUUUUUUUCAAUUUGUGUGUAAUCAUAAAUUGACGAUCUGGGUGAAUAGAAAGGCAGUGCUGUUAUGUGAAAAAGAUGAUGCAUACGCUUGCACAAUUCUGUUUUGCCUGAAACAACAUUUUUGCUUCGCGAAAUGUAAUUUAAAAUAGGUAUAAUGCAUUUUUAUAUUGCAAAUAAAUGCAGAGCAGUAAAUAUUACGAUUUGCACUCUCAAUAACGAAAGAGAAAUAUAACCGAAAUAUUUUGUAUCGAGAUAGCAAGUAUUUGUGUUUAUUAUUAUUACUAUAUGUAUAUACUCGCAUAAUAGCAAUAUAAAAUUUUAAUACAAUGACAGAAGAGGAGUAACGAGAUAUUCAUAUAAUACCUUUCUAUAACUUAUUAACUCUAAAAAUUUGGAAUAGUCAUUUAUAAUUAUGCGAAAAUUAAUCAAUAAGAGAAAAUGAAAUUUCGUACUCGUUAAUCAUCUGCACGUAGACUAUAAGUAAGUAACGCAGAAAAAUUCAAUUAUCUGCGUUCGUUAAAACAAAUUUACUUUGUACUACCGCGAUUGCGGAUUUUAAUUUGUUCUCUUCAAUACAUAAAUACAAAUGCACAAAUACGCCCACUCUCGACUUGUCCGCGCGCGCACACGUUUACUCCUAUAUAUGCUCGCCUCAGUCUCAUGUUGUGUGUAUGUACGCGUACAUGCUUUUUUAUGCCCUUUCAAUCUACGUUUAUUCAUUCUUUUAUGGAUACCAACCGGGCUCGCCUUUCAUUUUGUUUCAACGGAGGAGGAGAGAACCGAAUGAAAAGUUGAAACGGGCGGAGGAAAAGAGUAGAAAUAAACGAAUGGGAGGAUAGGAGAGGGACGGGAGUGUAGGAGGGUACGUACGGAGAAAGAGGGGAAGCGGAGGAUUGAGGGGGAAAUGAAAAAGGAGACAAGGAGAAAGGGGCGAGAGCGGGUGGCGGGUUGUUACUCCCGCGAUGGUGCUGAGGCAAGGGGAGGAAAGGCUCGCUCGAAGGUGGAGGAAGAGUAUAUAAACCUGUAGAAAUGCAUUAGGUACCUACCUACGGGCGAUAUUACCCAGGGAAAAAUUCUGCUUCUCAAAGGGUCGCCCCGAGUGCUUUUCAAAGUAGAUUUUCGGAACGAGCUUGUCCGAUCUUUCUUAAAAGGAUCGCAUCGAAAGAGGGAAAUUGCACUAACUCGAUGGACACGAUGGCCUACCGAUUUAAUCAUCAACGUCGAUACUGAACUAUAUAUAAUUCAUAUGUGCGCGUGGAUGUAUUCGUAUAGGGAGAUCUGACGAAUAGAUACGCACAAUCGGAAACAUUGAUCGCGCGAUGCCAGACACAACGGUAUUCUAUGGAAGAGAUUUAAUUUAGACGAACGUUUCAAAUCAGAUUGAACCGGGAAAUAAGGACGUUGUAUGGUAAUAGUAGUAGUACCGAUGGCGAUGGUGUAGUGAGGAGCAGUAGAAUCGAGAGAGAGACAAGAGAGGAAGGAAAGGAAAAGAAGGAAGAGAACCUUUCAUAAUGUUGGGAUAAAUGAGGAUCGGACAUACCGCCAUUGGAUAAUUCUCGAGUAUCAAAAAAUAAAUAAAAAUUAAUAAUUAUUGUGCUCGUAACUAUUAUAAUUAUAAUUGAAAUUUAUAUGUACACGCUCAUGAGCAAUUUGUCCAUGUAAGUCUCUUCUGUAUUUUUCGUACAUGUUAAUAAGAAUUUAAAAAAAAUUUUAUUUAAAAA